rnacentral:rRNA from 1 species
AACGAACGCUGGCGGCAUGCCUAACACAUGCAAGUCGAACGAUGCUUUCGGGCAUAGUGGCGCACGGGUGCGUAACGCGUGGGAAUCUGCCCUUGGGUUCGGAAUAACAGUGAGAAAUUGCUGCUAAUACCGGAUGAUGUCUUCGGACCAAAGAUUUAUCGCCCAGGGAUGAGCCCGCGUAGGAUUAGCUAGUUGGUGGGGUAAUGGCCUACCAAGGCGACGAUCCUUAGCUGGUCUGAGAGGAUGAUCAGCCACACUGGGACUGAGACACGGCCCAGGCUCCUACGGGAGGCAGCAGUGGGGAAUAUUGGACAAUGGGCGCAAGCCUGAUCCAGCAAUGCCGCGUGAGUGAUGAAGGCCUUAGGGUUGUAAAGCUCUUUUACCCGGGAUGAUAAUGACAGUACCGGGAGAAUAAGCGCCGGCUAACUCCGUG